rnacentral:rRNA from 1 species
AUUGAACGCUGGCGGCAGGCCUAACACAUGCAAGUCGAGCGAGCGGCGGACGGGUGAGUAAUGUCUGGGAAACUGCCUGAUGGAGGGGGAUAACUACUGGAAACGGUAGCUAAUACCGCAUACCAUCAGAUGUGCCCAGAUGGGAUUAGCUAGUAGGUGGGGUAACGGCUCACCUAGGCGACGAUCCCUAGCUGAUCUGAGAGGAUGACAAGCCACACUGGAACUGAGCCACGGUCCAGACUCCUACGGGAGGCAGCAGUGGGGAAUAUUGCACAAUGGGAGCAAGCCUGAUGCAGCCAUGCCGAGUGUGUGAAGAAGGCCUUCGGGUUGUAAAGCACUUUCAGCGGGGAGGCGUUACCCGAAGAAGAAGCACCGGCUAACUCCGUGCCAGCAGCCGCGGUAAUAC